rnacentral:rRNA from 1 species
GAACGCUGGCGGCGUGCCUAAUACAUGCAAGUCGAGCGAACAGAUAAGGAGCUUGCUCCUUUGACGUUAGCGGCGGACGGGUGAGUAACACGUGGAUAACCUACCUAUAAGACUGGGAUAACUUCGGGAAACCGGAGCUAAUACCGGAUAAGAUUUUGAACCGCAUGGUUCAAUAGUGAAAGACGGCCUUGCUGUCACUUAUAGAUGGAUCCGCGCCGUAUUAGCUAGUUGGUAAGGUAACGGCUUACCAAGGCAACGAUACGUAGCCGACCUGAGAGGGUGAUCGGCCACACUGGAACUGAGACACGGUCCAGACUCCUACGGGAGGCAGCAGUAGGGAAUCUUCCGCAAUGGGCGAAAGCCUGACGGAGCAACGCCGCGUGAGUGAUGAAGGUCUUCGGAUCGUAAAACUCUGUUAUCAGGGAAGAACAAACGUGUAAGUAACUGUGCACGUCUUGACGGUACCUGAUCAGAAAGCCACGGCUAACUACGUGCCAGCAGCCGCGGUAAUACGUAGGUGGCAAGCGUUAUCCGGAAUUAUUGGGCGUAAAGCGCGCGUAGGCGGUUUUUUAAGUCUGAUGUGAAAGCCCACGGCUCAACCGUGGAGGGUCAUUGGAAACUGGAAAACUUGAGUGCAGAAGAGGAAAGUGGAAUUCCAUGUGUAGCGGUGAAAUGCGCAGAGAUAUGGAGGAACACCAGUGGCGAAGGCGACUUUCUGGUCUGUAACUGACGCUGAUGUGCGAAAGCGUGGGGAUCAAACAGGAUUAGAUACCCUGGUAGUCCACGCCGUAAACGAUGAGUGCUAAGUGUUAGGGGGUUUCCGCCCCUUAGUGCUGCAGCUAACGCAUUAAGCACUCCGC